GAAAGACCCCGUGAACCUUUACUAUAGCUUGACACUGAACAUUGAAUUUUGAUGUGUAGGAUAGGUGGGAGCCUUUGAAGCAGUGACGCCAGUCAUUGUGGAGGCGACCUUGAAAUACCACCCUUUAACGUUUGAUGUUCUAACGAAGUGCCUGAAACGGGUACUCGGACAGUGUCUGGUGGGUAGUUUGACUGGGGCGGUCUCCUCCCAAAGCGUAACGGAGGAGCACGAAGGUUUGCUAAUGACGGUCGGACAUCGUCAGGUUAGUGCAAUGGUAUAAGCAAGCUUAACUGCGAGACAGACAAGUCGAGCAGGUGCGAAAGCAGGUCAUAGUGAUCCGGUGGUUCUGAAUGGAAGGGCCAUCGCUCAACGGAUAAAAGGUACUCCGGGGAUAACAGGCUGAUACCGCCCAAGAGUUCAUAUCGACGGCGGUGUUUGGCACCUCGAUGUCGGCUCAUCACAUCCUGGGGCUGAAGUAGGUCCCAAGGGUAUGGCUGUUCGCCAUUUAAAGUGGUACGCGAGCUGGGUUUAGAACGUCGUGAGACAGUUCGGUCCCUAUCUGCCGUGGGCGUUGGAUGAUUGAUUGGGGCUGCUCCUAGUACGAGAGGACCGGAGUGGACGCAUCACUGGUGUUCCAGUUGUCUCGCCAGAGGCAUUGCUGGGUAGCUAAAUGCGGAAGAGAUAAGUGCUGAAAGCAUCUAA
rnacentral:rRNA from 1 species